GCAGUGGAAGGCGAUAAUAUACUGUUGGAAUCGGGAGAGUCUGCAUUUUGUUUGGAUCGAUCUUGAAAGCUUCGCUAUCGAAGAUCGUUGGGAUAAGAAAAAGAAGAGGAGAGAUUGAAGAUUUUGGUCGACUUUUGGAGGAAGGUUUGGGUUUGUCUUCGAAGAGGUUGCUGGGUUUUCGAAGAGUUGUGUGUUUAAUUUGGGUAUAUCUUUGGUAACAUGAAAGAAGAUGUCAAAAUUGUUUGAACUUUAAACAUUUAGUAUUGAAAAAGAUAAAAUUUGAAAGGAAGCUAUUUCUGCAAUUUUGGUUUUA